rnacentral:tmRNA from 1 species
GGGGAUGUAUUGGUUUUGACAGCAAAUGAUGUCGGACGGUAAGCACGUCGAGAGUCGUGGCCCCUCUCGUUAAUCCCAGACCUCAAGCCAUAACUGGCAACAACAAUUAUGCACUCGCUGCGUAGUCUUGACUAAGUCAGACUCCUUAAUCGCGCCGACAAGGUCGGUAGCGACGAGUAUCCCGCCGGAGUUUAUGCUCUCUAUCGCCGGCAAUAGGGAUAUCAUUCAAGGGAGAUGCACGCGCCGACUCUUCUAAAGCGCGCCAAGAUUCAGAAGAUAAGGGAACUUUGGCCCGCCUGCCGGCAGGCGUUCCCUGACAAUCAAAGGCAGGAUAAGCGUGUAGAAAGCCUUCUGGUGCUUUGUUUGGACGGCGGUUCGACCCCGCCCAUCUCCACAA